GUCUGGUGGUGUAGUGGUUAACACCCUUGCUAUAUACAUGAAAGACCCUGGGUUCAAUUCCCAGUCCAGCCA